rnacentral:tRNA from 1 species
GAGGUCUUAGCUUAAUGUAAAGUGUCUGAUUUGCAUUCAGAUGAUGUGGGAUAGUUCCCGCAGAUCUUA